rnacentral:lncRNA from 1 species
CGAGCUUUAAACCACACCCAGCCGGCCCAUCAUCAGCUGGCUUCCCCAGUUUAUGAUACCCAGCCACAGCAGUUAAAGCUGCAGGUUCCACUGGGACCUGAGCGUCUGUGUCUUUAGAACCUUUACCAAUGCUCAGUGCUGGCUAACUGUAUGUCAGCUUAACACAAGAUGAAGUCAUCUGAAAGGAGGGAACCUCCAUAAAGAAAACGCCUCCAUAAGGUAGGCAAGCCUGUUGGGCAUUUUCCUAAUUAAUGGUGGAUGGGGGAAGGCCCAGCCCAUGGUGGGUGGUGCUAUCUCUGAGCUAGUGGUCCUGUGUUCUAUAAGAAAACAGGCUGAGCAAGGCAAGGGAAGCCAGCCAGUAAGCAACUCCCUCCAUGGCCUCUGCAUCAGCUCCUGCCUUCUGGUUCCUGCCCUGCUUGAGUUCCUGUCCUGACUUCCUUCAAUGAUGAGCAGUGAUGGGGAAGCUUGAGCCAAGUUAACCCUUUCCUCCCCAAGUAGCUUUUGCUCAUGGUGUUUCAUCACUGCAAAAGUCACCUAAAUUUAGAUGUACUCCUUCAGCCCACUGGCAUUUGAGACUCUCCAAGCCAAAUGAUAGCUGAUUCAUCCCAUGGAGUCACAAACACCACAGCUGAAACUUCAACCAGAAAAGAUUCACCACCGCACACUCCAAAUCACCUACCAGCCACUUUGUUUCAUUGUCUCUGCUUUGCUCCCUCCAAAUUCUAAAUGAUAGCAUCCAUGUCCGCGAAGUUAAAUAAAUUACAAAAUCCCAAGAUGCCGAAAUUGCUGAAAUGAAAUUCUGUAUUUUAAUUAUAUAUUAAUAUGAUGGCUGCUUGGUGUUUCACCAUCUAAACGUGGAAAACUCUCAGAAGACAUUUCAAUGGCUUCAGUCUUCUGACAACUCCCCAUCACCAGUGGCUCAGCACAAGCAGUCACAGGUCAGGUAACAGUCACAAGUGCCAGCAAGAGAAGUGUUGAUAGGAAGUGUCAGGCCUAGCAGAGUAUUUAAGUCUCUGGUCUCCGAACACAGGGAUGGAUUAAUACCACUGUCAAAGACCACGGCCCAUGAACACAUACUCCCAUGCCCUGCCUUUCUGCCAUGGGAUGAUGGAGCAAGGAGACCUCACACAUGUCUCCUUGAUUUGACCCCUGGGACAAAGUAACACCUGACUGUUAUUUUUUCAUAACCUUCUCACUCUGAGUUAGUCUCUUAUGGCAGCACAAAGAGAUGAAGACAGAGGCCAAACUGUGAGUUGCUGGAGCUUACCUGUCUGCCUCCCUCCCUCCACCACAGCUGUCUUUGUCCUCUGCAUGUCCUCACUGCACAGCCGUGAUGCUCACCACAACGCCUGUGUUGUUUUUACACUGAUUUACACUACCUAUGGAACCCACUCACCUGAUGGCUGCUCCCCAUGAUGCAUUCACUGAAUCCUGGUCUCCAGAGCUUUCUUCCCGAUCUUUCCCAGUAAAAUCAUUCUCUGCUGUUUUCCAUUCUUAAGAGGCCGGCUGCUACUACCUGCUUAUUUUGUUGGACUCUGCCUGGGAGAAGUGUGACAGCAAACAACAGUGUCCUGUUGUGUCUGGCCCUGGUCUGGGGCAAAGAGAGAAAUGGAUCUUAAGCUCCAGAUCCCAAUGCUUAUAUCCUGUGUUCUUGAGAGAAUUUCCCCUAAGUUAUGCGUCAACAAGGCCCACAAAGACAACCAGGCAAAAUGCCAGAGAAAGGUGCUCAGUCCUGGGGGGAUUCAGAGGAAGAGAGCUCACAUCUGCCAGGACAUGAGCCUUAGACACAAUACCACAGGGGGUGCCCUACAGUUCAUCCUAAAUGGCCCCUUGGGGUGGCUGCACUUCAAAUAAGAUAGAUAUAUCCUCCGCCACUGCCUCUGGAAAUGAAAACUGUGUUCAUGUGAGCACAGGCCACGUUGAUUUUUUUCUCCUGGCUAGAUCUUGUGGCAGUGAAGUCAUUCUGAUGUCAGUAGCAGUGGGCAACAACCAUCGUCACUGUCCCUUCAACUAGACUUGAGUCAAUGAGAUUUGUGUGAGUGUCAGGAACCCUGUGUGAAUGGGCCUUCUGAUGGUUGGUUUUAAAUGACAUUUUUCCAUAAUCUAGAACCAGAGAGAGAGAGAGAGAGAGAGAGUGUGUGUGUGUGUGUGUGUGUGUGUGUGUGUGUGUGUGUGUCUCAGUUGAGGAAUUGUCCAUAUCAGGUUAGCCUCUUGUCAAUGUCAAUUUGGGAUUGUCUUGAUUAUUAUUAAUUGACCCGGCCCACUGUGGGUAGCAUCAUUCCCUAGGCUGAGUCCUGAACUGUGAAAGAGUGAAGGAAGCUGCUGAGAGGAAGCAAGCAGGCAGUGUGAACGUGUUCAUCUCUCUCUGCUUGGCUACAGAUGUGAUACGACUAGCUGUUUGAGUUCUUCCUUUAACUUCCCCCAAAGAUGGACUACAACCUGGAAUUGUAUGCUUCAAUAAACUCUUCCUCCUCUAUGUUGAUGGGGGCGGAUCAGGAUAUUUGUCACACAGAGACAGAAAUGUGAUCAGUUCAAGCCUUCAGGUGUGUGGCCCAUAUGUGAUGCAAGCUAACCCAACACUUCCCUGGCUACAAGGGAAUAGGUGACCCAUUGAGAUUUCUGUGAGUCAGGCUCCAUGAUAAGAUUGAACCACAUGGUCUUACUUACUGAGAGCUGAGAGCAUAGAUAACCACACAGACGCUAAACAAGCAGCAUAGAUGAAGGCUGUGGUUUCUUCACAGCUGCCACAUGGUGAUCUUACCCUGCCCCACGAUUCUGGGCUGUACUGCUCCAUGGAAGAGGAUAUGACCCCUGUCUUCACACUGAGUAUGGGUUGUAGAUAUUCUUCUGUGUUCCAUGAAAGUACCCCCUUUCCUCAUACAGUCCUUACUCAGUCCCCACAGCCACUGCAUCACCUAGGGUGCUGUGGAGCAGAGGCCAACCCUCACUCUCAGUAAGUACACUGAGACAAGCCCGGGCUGCAUGAAAAUCUCCCCAGAGGGCUCUAGCCGGCAGUAGAGGAACUGCCGCCCAAGAUCCUGUGACCCAGAGACAAAUGAGCUAUUUUUCUUAUGCAGACCAAUUAAGAAUAUAAUUUGAUUGAGAUGCUACAUUAGCUUCAGAAUCCCUCAAAAACAUGCAAAAAUAUUUACAUAAUAGGAUGUUUUUUUCCUGGCUCCAGGUCACUAAUAUAUAAGCGUUUCUGCAUAUAAAGUUCACAGUCUUCAAAUUCUUUGUAAGGAGCUGUCUUACAAUGAAAUCUAAGUAUAUCUGCCAAGUUCUCAAGAAGAUUAUUCAUUGAUCAUUCAGUGUUUUUUUGAAACUACUUGUUGGUAAAUCCCUCUUUAAGGGACCAUGAAUAAUCACUUGAGGGUAAGAAAUACACUAAACCAAAUGCCAAUCCACUGCCAACAAUUUACAACAAAAACAAAAUCAGCUUCGAAAUCCAAACACCACACAAAUGAAAACAGGGGCUUUUGUUCUUGGCCUUCAAGUCAAUUCUUUGGUUUUCUUUUAGCUCUUGAAAAUAACAACUGGGGAAAUUAAGCAUAUUUAUAGACAGUCUAAUUUUACCCUUUCUUGUAAUGCUGAUUCCAAGGUGGUUUUAUCAACAGUCACAGUGAAAGUGGAGAGGAUUUCCAAAGUUGUAAAUUCUAUUGGAAAUGAGUUACAAAUAAAGAAAGGUCCACAAACCAUUCUUGGAAAAGAUACCAAAGCUUAGCCUAACCCCUGAAGGGUGUGAACCUGGAAUAACAGGGACAUGUGCUUCCAAAUGUUAUCAAGGGGUGCUUAAGAUUAUCUAUGUGCUUGCAUCUGUGUGUGCUCACAUGUAUGUGCACAUGUAUGUUCAGAUGGUCUCAAAAACCAGAAGAGAGCACCAGAUCCCCUGAAACUGGAGUUACAGGCAGUUGUGAGCCACCCAACAUGGGUGCUGGGAUCCAGACUCUGAACAGCAACGUCUCUGUAGUUACACAGAGUGGGUCAAUCCCAGCACACUUAAUUCAGUCAGAACUCUUAGAUUGCAGCCAUGUGUCUGCACUAAGUACCCCAAGAUAUCUUUGAGUCAUCACUCCAACCUAUGUUUGUUUUUACUCAUUCAGAAAUGAUACAUAAAACAUUCCAGGAAAAGAAUGCAAAAACAACUCAUCUGUGAGGCCAUCGUGGAAAAAGGAAGUGAUAAUAAAUAAAGACACAACAACUGAAUUGUCCUUUCCCUCAGGGAAUUUAUCAUGCAAAUGCCUUGUAUGGGACUCAGAGAUCUGUGUUUAGGGAAACAAGCUGAAUAAAAUGUGGCCAUGUCAUCAAGGCACUCACCACCCAGGCUACAGAGCGGUGUAAUGAUAAGUCUUUCCGACAAGCUGCCUGAGCCCUGCCACCACGUGGGUGCCCAAAAUAACACACAGAGGUUAAUAUUAUUUACAAUGCUGCUGGCCAAUGGCUAGGAUUUCUUAUCUGCUGUCUCUGUUUUAAGUAUCAAUCAUAAUUAUUAAUCUAUAUAUUUUAUAAAGACUUAUCUGAUCAAGGAUGCUGGCGGCAUGCAUCCUCUCUUUUCAGGCUCACAUGGUGGCUCCAGAGAAGAGAGCAGGAGGAAGAGGAAGCAAGUGAUUCCCUGCUUGUCCCUACGUAUAUUCUGAGUCUGCCUGCUAUGUCACUUCCUGCCUGGAUCACAAAAUUUCUCUUUACUACAUUUCCCAGAAUCCUCCUCAACUCCUAGUCCCGCCUAACUUG